UACAUGAAGAAAUUACCUUUUAAUUUUUUGUUCUGUAAAAAACAAAUGAAAAAAAUGAAAAAUAGUCAACGUUUCAUGAAAAAGGUGUUGCCUCUAGCCCAACACUUUUCUCUCUAGGCGCUCACCUAAUGCAAUCCAGGCAAGGCGUAGCCAGGCGAGGCGCUAGAGGUUCGCCUCACCUCACCCGGCACCCUGGAGUGCCUUUAACAACACUGCUAUGCUAUGUUGCAGUUUCAACAUUUACAACUUACUUGGCUGUUCUUGACACACCAAAACAUUUGCGCAACAGAAAGAAAAGAUAAAAUUCUCUCUUGAAGCUUACCUGGAAAAGCCCACCUUGAACAAG
rnacentral:misc_RNA from 1 species